rnacentral:rRNA from 1 species
AAUCAACGCUGGCGGCGUGCCUAACACAUGCAAGUCGAGCGGUAACAGGUGUAGCAAUACAUGCUGACGAGCGGCGGACGGGUGAGUAACGCUUGGGAAUCUGCCUAUUAGUGGGGGACAACCCGGGGAAACGUCGGGCUAAUACCGCAUACGCUCUACGGAGGAAAGCCGGGACCGCAAGGCCUGGCGCUAAUAGAUGAGCCCAAGUCGGAUUAGCUAGUUGGUAGGGAACGGCCUACCAAGGCUACGAUCCGUAACUGGUCUGAGAGGACGACCAGUCACACCGGAACUGAGACACGGUCCGGA